GAAUGGGACUGGAUGGAGUGGGGAGGAGGAGGAAACAGACUGACUUCCCGCACUUAUUUUGACAAACGCUGGGUGUCGAGACUGCCAAGCAGAGCCCAGCUGAGUCCAGAAGCAUCCGCCAUUGGAUGCCGAGAAUGGUGAUUUUGGUGCUUUAAGACGAAAUCUGGCUCCCAGGAGGGAAGGCAAGUGCUUUCUCACCGAGUUUAAGACCCUGGGGGAGGGACAGGGCUCAAGUCUCAUGGCUUGCCCAGGGACCGACACAUUAAUGACUUAAUAAGUGUUUGCUGAUGUUGAAUUGAUAAAUGAAUGAAGACAGUUACGUAGACAUGAACACAGUGAGAGACUGGAGGAGUCUGACUGCAUUCCCAUGCCAUGUACUGAGUGCUUGUGAUCCUGAAACCGUGAACCUACGGCAGAAAAGUAAGGCACCUCAGGGUCCUUGAGGCAGCAGUGACUUCUCCAAGUGCAAAGACCGCACGUAAGAUGCUGGCCCGCCUGCUGCCCUACCUGUCUCUCAGGUUUGUGUGAAGACCAGCUGUGAUGACAAUAUAUGGCAUAGGAAUGUGUUUCGCUAACUGCAAAGCGGCAGAACAACGUGAGUUAUUACCCUCUUUUCACUGUUUUCUGCAUGGAAUUGAAACAGUUUGGCAGUCACAGAAUGAGCUGUAGAAUUGCAUCCAUGUGUGAUGAAUCCUAUUUCCACAAGGUUAUGCUCCACUGAAAUGUAGUUUACGUGUUUCCCUAACUGUCAGAAGCAACCUACACUUAGCAAGGAGGGCAGGAGCCCCACGGUAAGGCAUCUUGCGGGUGCUGGUGUGCUCUAGUGACUAGGAGGCUGCCAAGGAGAGAAAAGAAGAAAAGGAAAAAGAAAGAGAUGGAAGAAGGAAGGAGGGAAGGAAGGAAGGAAGAAUUCAUGAUGGCUUUAACAGAACUAUUUGCAAUUCGUCCUGAGUGACCAGGGGCAACCACCCAUAAGACCAUCCAAAGGAAAAUCUUGUUAAAAUGAGAUCAUAUUUUCCCUCAAAAAAGAAGAUAGAACGUGGCAGGUGAGUUUGAAUUGCAUGUUCACCUUGUUUGAUUUCUCUCCACUGGGUGACGGUCUCAGGAACCCACACCACACCGGGCAGGGCAGCCACUGCUCAGGGACAGCGCAAGCCCAGAAGCUAGACGCCUCCUGUGAGGAACCGUUGCUAAAACAAAUCUUCGUCAAUGUACAAAUUAUCAUCUUUUUAUCAAGAUGGUUCUCUCUUCUAUCUCAUAAUAAAUCUGCCUGUGCUGUGCGUGUGUGUGUGUGCGUAGCGGUGUGCUUUUAGUGAGUGAGUGCAUGUGUGCGCGUGCGAUGGUUUGAGACCUCAUCUGGGGUGACGCAGGGAGAAAACAGGGCGUCGGGGGCCUGUCCUUUGUUUAUUUUGCAGAUAAAUCUCAUCACUAAUCCGGAUGCAAAGCAGUGUCUUUUGCAGAGGAAAGGAAGCCUUUGCACCACCCCGAUGAUACCCAUAUAAAUCACAGAUUUUAUUUCUCUGCUGUGAGGGGCAUUACAGAUCCAAGCAACGUUGCAGACUCUCAUUGGGUGAUGCUUCAUUACUUGGUGGAAAAUCCCCAGGGCCAAAACAUUAUUUAAAUGUGCUAUGAAAAUAAACGUGAUUUAUAGGUGUGUCAGCGGCUGAGACGUUCUUGCCCGUUACUGCCUGUGCUGUUGUGCAUCAGGAUUAGGGCCUCGAUUUAUCGCCAGUUCAAGCUACACACAUGCUCCACAUCAGGACGUUGUCUACAUCCCCAGCGGUUCCAGAAAGGGGACAGUGUUUGCUGGCUGGUGGGUUUCAGAUGGUCCUCGGUGCUGUUGGCUUUUACUGGCUGAGAACGUGCGUGCGGGCGUGAGCGUGCGUGUACUGGCCCACAUUCAUUUGGAGAGCGUGGGGAACAACACUUUGUGCUCAGGUGCAUCCAUUCCCCAUGGCAGCAGAAUGGUGUUUCUGGUUAAAAAGAGAAAGAAGAAAGCGCAAUCUCCAUUUCGGCCCAGGGCUGGGGCCCACAUGUUUAGCUCAGAAGUCUCUGAAAAGCAGAUUUGGGGUAAUAAACAUCAGCAAGGUCUUCAGCCCAAAUGGGAUUUGAUUAGCAGGAAAGAGUGCAGUUGGGAUGUUUCCAUUACCAAAGGCAGAGAUACAGGGAAAGGCUUGUCUGAAAGGGCAAAGAAGCUCCCCCAGGUGCCUGAGCAGAGCCUUGGUGAUGGCUGUCUUUCCCACUGGGCUUCCACGGACACUCAGAAAACGUGGGGUGGACUGUGAUCCCUACCUCACGCCACGGGGUGCUGUCCCAUUGUUCCAGACAAGGAGACUAGAGGUCAGAAGAGGUGGCAGAGCCGAGACUAGACACCACUGAUUGAGCAGGUGGCAGGUCCUGUACAGUCCUCGCUUUAUACCCAUUUUAAGGAUGAGGAAACCGAGGGCCACAGAGGUAGAACUGUCAUAGCUUGGAAAUUUCUAGGCCUAGAGAAUUCAGAUCCUUUCCUUCCAGAAUCUCUCUUCUCUGGAUGUUCACGUAACUGGUGGCAAUUUGUGUUUUGCCUUUCUUGUCUCCGGUUCCACGUCCUCCGUUUUUCAAGAUCAAGGGUUUUAAAUGAUAUUCAAAAUAGGAAGAACCUAUAUCAAGUCCUUUUUGAGAUGGAUAUGGGGAAGCAAAUAAAGAAACUUACAAAGGCAUUCUUUUGGGCUUUUAUUUUAAAUAAAAGACAAUGGGGAGUUAGGGAGUGGGUGAAAUGGGUGAAGAGGGUUAAAAGGUAUAAACUUCCAGUUACAAAAUACAAGCCCUGGGGAUGUAAUGUGCAGCAUGGUGACUAUAGUUAGCAACACCAUAUCGCACAUGUGAAUGUUGCUAAGAGUAGAUUUUAAAAGAUCUCAUCGCAAGGCAAAAAAGCUGUGUAACUAUGUGUGGUGAUGGAUGUCACCUGGACUUAUCCUGGUGAUCGUUUUGCAAUAUACACAAAUAUCCAAUCAUUAUGUUGCACAUCUGAAACAAGUAUAAUAUUAUAUGUCAAUUAUACCUCAAUUAAAAAUAAACAUUUUAAAAGAAAGUUAAAAAAGAAAAAGAGACAAUAACUCUGGCAGGCCUAAAAAAGAAGCCUUAAAAAAAACCUUUUAAUUUUGAAAUAAUUUCAGAUCUGUAUUAAACAAGAAUACCUGUAUAGGCUUCACUCAGAUUCUUCGGAUGUUAAUAUUUUACUGGGUUUGCUUUAUCAUUGUGUGUGUGUGUGUGUGUGUGUGUUUGUGUGUGUGUGUCUCUUUGUGCUAAUACUUUUCUGGUUAAUACUUUUCUUGGGAUGGUUUGGAAGUUGUAGACACGUUGGGCUUUAUUCCUGACUACGUCAGCGUGUAUUCCUAAACUCACGUACAUAACGACAGUGUGGAUAUUAAACCUAGGAAAUCAACACUGCUACAGUAUUAUUAUUUAACUUAUAGACCUUUUCCAAAUUUCAGUAAUUGUCCUACUAAUGUCCUUCCUAGAAAAAACCUUUUCAUGUACUUUGGGUUUCUGUGGGGCUUGUGCUCAACUGUGGGAACUUGUGAGAGUUUGCUGAAGGUUUAGGCUAUUCAACUAAAAACUAACAUUAUCUUUUAUAUAUAUAUAUAAAUAUUAUAUGUAUUAUAUAUUAUAUAUAUAUAAUUCGUCUCCUAUGGUUGUAAUGAAAUGCUCAUACUGACAAAUUCAAAAUCUUUACAUCCUUGAGCCAAAAAGUAAAACCAGAUUCUGAGUUCCUCCGUGUGUUUCCAUUCAGUGUGAGCCUCUUUACACAUCUGGUCCCUCUUGGGGGCUGCACCCUUGCCUGUUUACAAGAUUUCUGAAAGUCGCAGCCAUGACUUUGCCUCUAAGCCCAGAGUGGGUAAAGCAAAGGUCCAAAGGGUUUUUUGGUGAAGUGUGAUGAGAAAGGGCAAUUCGGUCUGGGAGUGGCUUUCCGUGGAACUCCGUCAGUUCCCGGUGAAGUUGUGUUGCGGGAGAUGUUACAGCUGCCGAGAGCAGGUCAUCUGGCUCCCGUUAUCAAAUUGUGUGUCCUAAGACCCAGGGAUAGGCAGGUGACAGAAUGGAAAGACAACAUCGGUCCAGGAUUUAGUGCUGCCCAGCAGGAGGAUUAGUGAGACGCCUUUAUAAUGCGGUGUUGACAGACAGGACUAGCGUCUGUUUUAUGGGCUAUCAGCUGAGCUGCAUCGGGCUUCUCCUGCGGGUAGCGGUUACGUUUCAGCCGACAUGACUCGAUCUGUGGCUUAUCCAAAUCGGUGUAAUAAUAAGGUAGGUUCUAAGGGCGUUUACUUUUCCAUAUAUGCUCAAAUAUAGUCGACCUGUUAGAAAACUAAGCAAAAUAAGGGCUUCUGUUUCUCCUGCUGGUACACAGUGAGGGUGUGAGAGUAAUCAGCUCAUUCCCCGCCAAGACAUAUCCAUCCAGAAAGUUUGUAAAAGCUCUUUAUUCCUCGUAGGGAAAUGAUUUUCGUCUUAGGAAGGAAACACAUGGCUUUCUUCUUACAGCUUCAAACUCCGUCUUGCCAGCUGUGUUGAUUUCCCUCGGUGUGGCACUAAUGAAAGGAGACUUUGAUGAGCUGUGUGAAUGGUCACUCCAGAGGGAGGCAUGCAGAAAGACGCGGCUUUCUGGAAGGUUGUGGUGGAUGAAGAAUGAAGGCAGCAGGACUGAGGAUGCAAGGAUCGCAGCCAGCCAACCACAGCAGGCAGCAUUAAAGAAGGGGCCUCAUUUUUGCCUGAAGAGUGUAAUGAUGAGAAUUAUUUCGUCUUCAACAGAUUUCCCUACUUGGUUACCACGCAAUGUAAUACCUUGGACUUGAAAAAUGAUACUCUCCUCUCCAAGAAAUGGAAGAGAGGGGAGAAGGCACAGUCAUUCUGAGCUUCACUCUAAAGCAAUUAUGAGCUCUUCACAACCCUUAGACAAGAAUUGAUUUUUAUUUUUAGAUUAUUAAGCUGUGGGUGUAAGGAAGUCAGGAUAUGUGACCUAGUUUUGACCUUGCAGACUGAAUUCUUCUUGAAUUGAUUCUAUAUUGAAAAUAAAAACUUUUUUAAAAUUUA